rnacentral:rRNA from 1 species
GACGAACGCUGGCGGCGUGCUUAACACAUGCAAGUCGAACGGAAAGGCCCUGCUUGCAGGGUACUCGAGUGGCGAACGGGUGAGUAACACGUGGGUGAUCUGCCCUGCACUUCGGGAUAAGCUUGGGAAACUGGGUCUAAUACCGGAUAGGAACCAUCUUUAGUGUGGUGGUUGGAAAGUUUUUUCGGUGUAGGAUGAGCUCGCGGCCUAUCAGCUUGUUGGUGGGGUAAUGGCCUACCAAGGCGGCGACGGGUAGCCGGCCUGAGAGGGUGUACGGCCACAUUGGGACUGAGAUACGGCCCAGACUCCUACGGGAGGCAGCAGUGGGGAAGAUUGCACAAUGGGCGCAAGCCUGAUGCAGCGACGCCGCGUGGGGGAUGAAGGCCUUCGGGUUGGAAACUCCUUUCGCUAGGGACGAAGCUUUUUGUGACGGUACCUAGAUAAGAAGCACCGGCUAACUACGUG